AAACGACUUACACCGAUCUAAAGGUUUGCUAUGACGUCACGAACAAAACGACUUACACUGGUCUAAAGGUUUGCUAUGAUGUCACGAACAAAACGACUUACACUGGUCUAAAGGGGUAGUUGAGAAAAAGAAUGAAUAUCAUUGGAAUGGAACAACCGUUGCUGAUAGGAUCGAACUCGAGCCCUGGUGAACACGGCAUCCAUAUCGCGGUAAAUCCGUCCGCGGCGGGUGCACACUGCACGAAUCCCGAGCAGUCCCAGGACAGCGGAAACAGCCCGCUCG